UACGGAGGGGGCUAGCGUUGUUCGGAAUUACUGGGCGUAAAGGGCGCGUAGGUGGCGGCCCAAGUCCAUGGUGAAAGCUCGAUGCUCAACAUCGAGUCGGCCACGGAUACUGGGUUGCUCGAGCACUGUAGGGCAGAUGGAAUUCCUGGGUGUAGCGGUGAAAUGCGCAGAUAUCAAGGAGGACACCGGUGGCGAAGGCGGAUCUCUGGGCCAUUACUGA
rnacentral:rRNA from 1 species